AAAAAACCCUCUAAUUACAAAGUUAAUGCUGUGAUUAGUAAAAACAAAAAGAACGUUACCUGCGGUCUGGCUUAAACCCCUAUGUACAUUUAAACAAAAUGGAGGCUUUUCUUGUUUUUGCUAUGUAUUUUGAGCUGUUGGAUACUAAGCUACUGCUGCUGUAAGCACAGUGCUUUAUCUUUGUGUUUCUAUAUGAUAUUUGUAUCACACAGCUAUGUUACAUUGCUGCCAGCCACCCCAUGUUUGUCUUAACAGUUUAUAAUUAUGUAGGGACCGCACCCCUUCCUGUCUCAUCAGAGAAAUUUGCCUUUUAGCUGAUACCAGCAAGGUGAUUUGUAUGUGUUACAUCCCUAUUUAGGGUUAAUAAGUAUGUAGGGGUUUAUAAAACACCCCUUCAUGUCUCAUUAGAGAUGUUUACACU